GAAUAUAGUGUCUCUAAAAUACACACAGCUCACACUUAUAGAGGCAAAACAGGGAGAGAUGAAGAGCCAGAUUUUGUGGUGGCACCUAACGAGACUGACGAGUUAAAAUGUGGUUUGACAACAGGAAAUGCUAAUGCUCUAUUAACCACUAACAUAACAGUGUGUUUGAACAAGACAGGGUACAAUUAACAGGUGCAGCCGGUCCCAUGCACAACUACAACUCACACAAAGCUGUGAACGAUCAUCAGUGUUUAAACUCUCAAAACUGCCCUAAAUCGAUCUCGGUCAACUUGCCUGUUUCUCACAAGGAGGAGCGGUGGGGAAAAACACUUCCAUCCAUCCCCUUUCUGGUGUGGAAGUCAAGCAGCAUAAUCCAACAUGAUGUGAAAAACCACAAUGCUCCACUGCAGCCUGCGAAUGGAAGACGACCACAGAGACGGUGGUGGACGGGUGGAAGGGUUUGUUCAUCAGCAGCAGCUCUUUGGCAGCGAAGAAGGAGGCGGAGAUCGACGGUAGCUCUUUGAUCGUGACGUUGGCCGGCAGAGCGGGGUCCAGGG